UACGGAGGAUGCAAGCGUUAUCCGGAAUGAUUGGGCGUAAAGAGUCCGUAGGUGGUAGUUCAAGUCUGUGGUUAAAGCGUGGAGCUUAACUCCAUAAAGGCCAUGGAAACUGAACAACUAGAGUGAGGUAGGGGUAGAGGGAAUUCUCGGUGUAGCGGUGAAAUGCGUAGAUAUCGGGAAGAACACCGGUGGCGAAAGCGCUCUACUGGACCUUAACUGACACUGAGGGACGAAAGCUAGGGGAGCGAAAGGG
rnacentral:rRNA from 1 species